ACUAAAAAAUGCAAAUGUAAAACAAUCAACAUUAUAGUUCAUAAAACUGCUAACAGCCAAGUAUAAAUAACUGACAAGUGCCUAAGUUAUAUAUUUAAAGAUCUAAUUAGAAUUGAGAGUUUAUGUUUUGAAUUGAAAAGAUAAUGGAGAAAACAAUAUUUGGUGAGUACCUAUUCUUGUACAUUGUAAUAAGUAAAAAUAUAUUAGGCUCCUCAUUGGUGGUGGAAUAUUGUUCCAACACUUGGACGCAGCAUAACGAAAACUUCCUCUAAAGGCUGCUGAACUGUUUUGAGGUAUUGUGAUUUGCAUAGCAGCUUUUCGAGUAUCACAGGACCUACGACUUGAAAACCAGGAAAGCUUUUUAUAUAAAAACUCCACAACAUAAAGUAACCAUUUUUAGAAGUACAGCUGGGUGUGGUGGAUGUAUAAGCAUCAAUCUGAUAAGGAAUUAUAUUCCAUGAAAUUUGGGCAGUGUUUAAAUCACCAGCUACUAAUGCAUCACUGUUAUCUAUCAGAGUAAUAGCCCUAGUGAUACAGUAUAAUUGAUUUUCAAUCCAAAGCAAAACAAAACAAAACAUUGUUAAAGGUGGCAAGUAUACAUCACAAUGACAUAAACUAUUAAAUAU